UACGAAGGGGGCUAGCGUUGUUCGGAAUUACUGGGCGUAAAGCGCACGUAGGCGGAUACUUAAGUCAGGGGUGAAAUCCCGGGGCUCAACCCCGGAACUGCCUUUGAUACUGGGUAUCUCGAGUCCGGAAGAGGUGAGUGGAAUUCCGAGUGUAGAGGUGAAAUUCGUAGAUAUUGGGAAGAACACCGGUGGCGAAGGCGGCUAUCUGGACCGACAUUGACGCUGAGGCGCGAAAGCGUGGGGAGCAAACAGG
rnacentral:rRNA from 1 species